GGGAUCGUUACUUGUGAUAAAUGUUUUUAGUUCUUCUUGACAUUUUGUCCAAUCUGUGUCACAAUCUUCCAUGGUUAGUUGUUGUUCAAGCCCAUGAUGUGUGACACAUUUUCCGUUUGGAUAUUGUCCGUUCUUCAACAAUCCCCAGGCGAUCAUGUCCCAGAUGAUGUUUCCGCUGCCGUGAUUUGCUUUCAAGAUACCGCCAAAUAUGGAACCACUGCUGGUUUUUCCUGGUAUCUCCUUCCAAAGCACACUUUUCCAAUUUUAAGGUUUCGUCGACCCCUACGGCUGCAGCAAAUACGUAAUCGUGUGUUGUCUCCGUGAUGCAGAUAUGAGUAUUUUGUACGCGUAUCGUUUGGUCGACAAUGUACUCGAAUUUUGAUCCUGAUGGAAGAGGGUCGUCCUUUGAAAGUUGACUGUACGUUGUCAAAGGGUUUCUGCUUCCGGACUCAGUUCCCCAGGCGUAUGAAAUACUGUAGAGACGAAUCCCAAGUUGUUCGUCUUCGACUUGAGUGUCGAAGAGAAAGUGAACUUCUUGAAGAAGCGAACGUUGUGGUCUGGAUUUGUACAACUCUCGGUAGUCUUCGCACACGGGUGUGGCAAGGAAACGUCAAAUACGUUAGAGGGAUUCCAACCACUUUAUGUCCUACUGGUGCGA
rnacentral:lncRNA from 1 species